AUUCAAACCCAGGACCUUGCAUGAGGGAGUAAAUACUCCAAACCACUACACUAGUAGGUCCUUUUUAAAUACAAACGGGAUGCACAGUUCCAUUAAAAUCAAAGAAAAAUUAGUGUAUAGUAACAAAAAAACUUUAGUAAUUAGCAUAUGAUACAUUACCUAUUUUUGUUUUGGAUAUGGUGGAUGAGUUUUAAAUUUUAUUUUGUUAAAAGCCAACGGCCCUACCCAUGUGCUCUUUAAGCUUAUUUAAUUUGUAUUUGAAAUAACAUUUUUACCCUUCAUAUUUUAUAUGAGAGGCAGAUCACGCCUCAGCUAUGGAUUCAUCCUAAACGAAGAGCACGAGGUCGCAACCACCACCAACGACAACCAUGGCUAAGAAGGUCACUGCAAAGUGCCAGAGAAAGGCCUUUUUCACCGGAGAAGCAAUCGAUGACUGAGAAGGCAUUUUCUGGCGGAGAAGCAAUUGAUGAUGACCAUGGCUCGUCCUGGCGUCACAAUUGCCUACGGAGAAGGCGUUCUGCGGUCCAUGGAGAAGCAAUCGGAGAAUCGAUGCUGACGGAAUAGAUCUUCGUCUCCUGUGUUUGGUGUAGUGGUUUGUGAGUGAGCCUUCCUCCUUUAAGGGUCAAGGUUUGAGUCCAUUCAAUGACACAAGAGUCCGAUGGUGGUGGCCGACGGUGGUGGCCGGCGGCGGGAUUCCAGCAGUUGUGGGCGGCGGUGGGAUUCCGGGGGUGGUGGCUGGCGGUGGGAUUCUAGCGCUGAUGGUUGGCUAGAUAUGGACAUGUGGCAUAAUAUGCUUGCCUUAGAAGGAGUGACAUUGUGUGUAAUUUUGAUAUUUUUUAAUGAUAUUUUGUAAAAUUAGGUACUACAUUUUGGUCUUUAGCCUUAUGCUAGUUAGAUGAAAUUGUAAUAGUAUCUUCCAAAUUAGUAAACUAUAUUGUGUUUUAAAACUAAAACUCCCUAAAAUCAAUUGAAAUGGACCGUUUCCCUAAGGCAAA